GACGAACGCUGGCGGCGUGCUUAACACAUGCAAGUCGAACGAAGAGCGACGGAAGCUUGCUUCUAUCAAUCUUAGUGGCGAACGGGUGAGUAACGCGUAAUCAACCUGCCCUUCAGAGGGGGACAACAGUUGGAAACGACUGCUAAUACCGCAUACGAUCUAAUCUCGGCAUCGAGGAUGGAUGAAAGGUGGCCUCUACAUGUAAGCUAUCACUGAAGGAGGGGAUUGCGUCUGAUUAGCUAGGUGGAGGGGUAACGGCCCACCAAGGCGAUGAUCAGUAGCCGGUCUGAGAGGAUGAACGGCCACAUUGGGACUGAGACACGGCCCAGACUCCUACGGGAGGCAGCAGUGGGGAAUCUUCCGCAAUGGACGAAAGUCUGACGGAGCAACGCCGCGUGAGUGAUGACGGCCUUCGGGUUGUAAAGCUCUGUUAAUCGGGACGAAAGGCCUUCUUGCGAAUAGUGAGAAGGAUUGACGGUACCGGAAUAGAAAGCCACGGCUAACUACGUG
rnacentral:rRNA from 1 species